GCAAAAAUAGCUCAAUGGUAGAGUAUAACCUUGCCAAGGUUAAUGUUGA
rnacentral:tRNA from 1 species